rnacentral:rRNA from 1 species
GACGAACGCUGGCGGCGUGCUUAACACAUGCAAGUCGAACGGUAAGGCUCCAGCUUGCUGGGGUACACGAGUGGCGAACGGGUGAGUAACACGUGGGUGACCUGCCCUGCACUUCGGGAUAAGCCUGGGAAACUGGGUCUAAUACCGGAUAGGACCGCACCGUGAGGGUGUGGUGGAAAGUUUUUUCGGUGUGGGAUGGGCCCGCGGCCUAUCAGCUUGUUGGUGGGGUAAUGGCCUACCAAGGCGGCGACGGGUAGCCGGCCUGAGAGGGUGGACGGCCACAUUGGGACUGAGACACGGCCCAGACUCCUACGGGAGGCAGCAGUGGGGAAUAUUGCACAAUGGGCGGAAGCCUGAUGCAGCGACGCCGCGUGGGGGAUGACGGCCUUCGGGUUGUAAACUCCUUUCACCAUCGACGAAGGGUUUCUGACGGUAGAUGGAGAAGAAGCACCGGCUAACUACGUGCCAGCAGCCGCGGUAAUACGUAGGGUGCGAGCGUUGUCCGGAAUUACUGGGCGUAAAGAGCUCGUAGGUGGUUUGUCGCGUCGUCUAUGAAAUUCCGGGGCUUAACUCCGGGCGUGCAGGCGAUACGGGCAUAACUUGAGUACUGUAGGGGAGACUGGAAUUCCUGGUGUAGCGGUGAAAUGCGCAGAUAUCAGGAGGAACACCGGUGGCGAAGGCGGGUCUCUGGGCAGUAACUGACGCUGAGGAGCGAAAGCAUGGGGAGCGAACAGGAUUAGAUACCCUGGUAGUCCAUGCCGUAAACGGUGGGCGCUAGGUGUGGGUUUCCUUCCACGGGAUCCGUGCCGUAGCUAACGCAUUAAGCGCCCCGCCUGGGGAGUACGGCCGCAAGGCUAAAACUCAAAGGAAUUGACGGGGGCCCGCACAAGCGGCGGAGCAUGUGGAUUAAUUCGAUGCAACGCGAAGAACCUUACCUGGGCUUGACAUAUACAGGAUCGCGCCAGAGAUGGUGUUUCCCUUGUGGCUUGUAUACAGGUGGUGCAUGGUUGUCGUCAGCUCGUGUCGUGAGAUGUUGGGUUAAGUCCCGCAACGAGCGCAACCCUUGUCUUAUGUUGCCAGCACGUUGUGGUGGGGACUCGUAAGAAACUGCCGGGGUUAACUCGGAGGAAGGUGGGGAUGACGUCAAAUCGUCAUGCCCCUUAUGUCCAGGGCUUCACACAUGCUACAAUGGUCGGUACAGUGGGUUGCCAGUCCGUGAGGGCGAGCUAAUCCCGCAAAGCCGGUCUCAGUUCGGAUCGGGGUCUGCAACUCGACCCCGUGAAGUCGGAGUCGCUAGUAAUCGCAGAUCAGCAACGCUGCGGUGAAUACGUUCCCGGGCCU